UUUUUAUUAUUCAUUAUAAAUACCUCUUUUAUUAUCUCUCUUUGAUCAUCUCAUCACACACGGGCCUCUCAUCACACACGAAAUUUUUUAAAAUCGGUGAUUAGUGUUGUUUUGUUGUUUGUUUAUAUUUCUUCUAUGAUAACUCUAACAUUUGAGAUUUUGAGUGGCAAGAUGUCAAAAUUACUAUCAAUGAUUACACCUAAUUGCACAAAUUCAUGAUCAAUUGGGAUAAAGUAUUUCUUUGGUAAGAGACAAAUUCAUGAUCAAUUGGGAUAAAGUAUUUCUUUGGUAAGAGUGAGGGUCUAAACCCGACAAAAAAAACAUUACACAACAAUAUGCCUCGGGGUAGCAUGUCCCCUAAGAUCAACCUCACACGACUCUCUAACGUGCGGAAGACAAUUCUCAAAAACUGUUAAAGAAGCAUUAAAAGUACGUCUCGACUGAGCUAACACAUUAGCACACCGAUUUACCUCCCGAUAACAAUACAGAAUAUUAACCUUCCAAUUCCUCUUCAUCAUAUCUCAAAUAUACCUAAUUAAAGGAAGUUAUUGAAGGUGGUGAUUCAAAUUUCAAAGAUGAAGUGGUUGUUGCUAAUACUUGCCAGACUCCAACUAGCAACUCACUUGGAGAGCGAAAGCUAUGAGUUUGGAAUCUUUAGAAACAAUUGAUCUCGAAGGUGACAAUGCAUCCAUCACUAAAGAGUCAAAAUUGCUAUGUUUGAAAAUAAAAGAAACAAAAUGAUUCACUCUCUUUUCGAUUUGAUGAUUGAUACUCUUUUUCAAUUUGAUUUGUUUUACGGCUUUUUUAUUUAUGUAAUAACAGUCAAAUAUUU